CCUACGGGAGGCAGCAGUGGGGAAUAUUGCACAAUGGGCGGAAGCCUGAUGCAGCGACGCCGCGUGAGGGAUGAAGGCCUUCGGGUUGUAAACCUCUUUCAGCAGGGACGAAGCGUGAGUGACGGUACCUGCAGAAGAAGCACCGGCUAACUACGUGCCAGCAGCCGCGGUAAUACGUAGGGUGCGAGCGUUGUCCGGAAUUACUGGGCGUAAAGAGUUCGUAGGCGGUUUGUCGCGUCGUUUGUGAAAACCCGGGGCUCAACUUCGGGCUUGCAGGCGAUACGGGCAGACUUGAGUGUUUCAGGGGAGACUGGAAUCCCUGGUGUAGCGGUGAAAUGCGCAGAUAUCAGGAGGAACACCGGUGGCGAAGGCGGGUCUCUGGGAAACAACUGACGCUGAGGAACGAAAGCGUGGGUAGCAAACAGGAUUAGAUACCCUGGUAGUCCACGCCGUAAACGGUGGGCGCUAGGUGUGGGUUCCUUCCACGGGAUCUGUGCCGUAGCUAACGCAUUAAGCGCCCCGCCUGGGGAGUACGGCCGCAAGGCUAAAACUUAAAGGAAUUGACGG
rnacentral:rRNA from 1 species